CGGAGAGGGAGCAUGAGAAACUGCUACCACAUCCAAGGAAGGCAGCAGGCGCGCAAAUUACCCAAUCCCAACACGGGGAGGUAGUGACAAUAUGUAACAAUAUACGGCCUUAUACGUCGUAUAAUUGGAAUGAGUACAAUUUAAAUCCCUUAACGAGGAACAAUUGGAGGGCAAGUCUGGUGCCAGCAGCCGCGGUAAUUCCAGCUCCAAUAGCGUAUAUUAAAGUUGUUGCAGUUAAAAAGCUCGUAGUUGGACCUUGGACCUGGACAGGCGGUCCGCCUCACGGCGAGUACUGUCUUGCUGGGUCUUUCCUCUUGGUGAUCUGUUGUUUCGGCAGCAGGGAACCAGGACCUUUACUUUGAAAAAAUUAGAGUGUUCAAAGCAGGCUCGACGCCGGAAUAUAUUAGCAUGGAAUAAUAAAAUAGGACGUGCGGUUCUAUUUUGUUGGUUUUUGGAAUCGCCGUAAUGAUUAAUAGGGACAGUCGGGGGCAUUAGUACUCACAUGCUAGAGGUGAAAUUCUUGGAUUUUGUGAAGACUAACUUCUGCGAAAGCAUUUGCCAAGGAUGUUUUCGUUAAUCAAGAACGAAAGUUGGGGGCUCGAAGACGAUCAGAUACCGUCCUAGUCUCAACCAUAAACGAUGCCGACCAGGGAUCAGCGGAUGUUGCUUUUAGGACUCCGCUGGCACCUUAUGAGAAAUCAAAGUUUUUGGGUUCCGGGGGGAGUAUGGUCGCAAGGCUGAAACUUAAAGGAAUUGACGGAAGGGCACCACCAGGAGUGGAGCCUGCGGCUUAAUUUGACUCAACACGGGGAAACUAACCAGGUC
rnacentral:rRNA from 1 species